CGCAUGGUGGCGCAGCGGAAGCUCGCUUGGUUCAUUCCCAAAGGUUUGGCGGUUCGAUUCCGUCCCGCGCAU
rnacentral:tRNA from 1 species